rnacentral:rRNA from 1 species
GACGAACCGUGCGAACGUUGUUCGGAAUCACUGGGCUUAAAGGGCGCGUAGGCGGGCUGGCAAGUCUGGGGUGAAAUGCCACGGCUCAACCGUGGAACUGCCUCAGAUACUGUCGGCCUCGAGGAAGGUAGGGGCAUGCGGAACUGUAGGUGGAGCGGUGAAAUGCGUUGAUAUCUACAGGAACUCCGGUGGCGAAAGCGGCGUGCUGGACCUUUUCUGACGCUGAGGCGCGAAAGCUAGGGGAGCAAACGGG